rnacentral:rRNA from 1 species
GCCAAUCGAACUCGGAGAUAGCUGGUUCUCCUCGAAAUAGCUUUAGGGCUAGCGUCAUGUUAGUAAUGUAUGGGGGUAGAGCUCUGUAAAGGAUUGGGGCGGGCAACUGUACCCACCCUUAACAAACUACGAAUACCGUAUAUGUAAUCAUGGCAGUUAGAACAUCGGUGCUAAGAUCGGUGCUCAAAAGGGAAACAGCCCAGACCAUCAUCUAAGGUCCCUAAAUAUACAUUAAGUGGGAAACAAGGUGAAAUUUCUUAAACAGCGAGGAUGUUGGCUUAGAAGCAGCCAUUCAUUUAAAGAGUGCGUAACAGCUCACUCGUCAAGAGAUUUUGCGUGGAAAAUGUAACGGGGCUAAAUGUAUUACCGAAGAUAUGGAUUAUUACAUUAGUAAUAGUGGUAGAGGAGCGUUCCUAUCAGCAGUGAAGCAGUAUUGAAAAGUAUUGUGGAGCGGUAGGAAGUGAGAAUGCUGGAAUGAGUAACCAUAAGAUAGGUGAGAAUCCUGUCGGCCGUAAGAGCAAGGUUUCCUGAGCUAUGGUAAUCAUCUCAGGGUUAGUCGGGCCUAAGCCGAGGCGCAGAGCGUAGGCGAUGGACAUCAGGUUAAUAUUCCUGAACCGGUUAAGUUUUGUACACUGUUCACGGGGAAGUAAUCGAAGCGGAUUCAUGGUUUAUCCGUCCAACCGAGCGGGAACGCAAAGGGAGUGAAAGUGAUUCUUCGGAGUCGCGAUUUUGGUGAAAGCCCUGGCUAGAAAAGCAGGUGUACGCGUGGACUUAGCCGCCCGUACCGCAAACCAACACAGGUGCUCGAGUCGAGUAGACUCAGGCUUACGAGCGAACCUUCGCUAAGGAACUCGGCAAUACAGCGACCGUAACUUCGGGAUAAGGUCUGCCCCCACUUCGGUGGAUAUCAGCCGCGUUCACUCAGUGAAUAAUAGGUUAAAGAGUACAUUUUUAAUCACAAAACGAAUUUUCUGAGACACGAGCAAACAAAUUGCUCUUUGAACGCGAACCUCUUGUAUCUAACGAUGUGGGGGCCGCAGCAAAAGAGCCCACGGAACUGUUUAUCAAAAACACAGGUCUCUGCUAACACGAAAGUGGAUGUAUAGGGGCUGACUCCUGCCCGGUGCCGGAAGGUUAAGGGGAGUGCUUCACGGUGCAAACUGAAGCCCCGGUGAACGGCGGCGGUAACUAUAACCGUCCUAAGGUAGCGAAAUUCCUUGUCAGGUAAGUUCUGACCCGCACGAAUGGAGUAAUCAUGUGGGCACUGUCUCAGCGAAGGACUCGGUGAAAGUGCAUUGGCGGUAAAGAUGCCGUCUGUCCGUACCAGGACGAAAAGACCCCAUGGAGCUUUACUACAGCUUUACAUUGAAUACGGUUUCAACAUGUGUAGCAUAGGUGGGAGAUAUUGAAGCAGAUACGCCAGUAUUUGUGGAGUCACCAAGUGAAAUACCACCCUUGUUGUGAUUGUGUUCUCACGCUGACCGUUAUCCGGUUAGCGGACCGUGUAUGGUGGGUAGUUUAACUGGGGCGGUUGCCUCCUAAAGAGUAGCGG